rnacentral:rRNA from 1 species
CGAAAGGUGGGGUAAUACCGCGUACGAUUAUCGAAAGGCAUCUUUUGAUAAUGAAACAUCCGCAAGGAUGGCUGAGAGACGGGCUUACGGCCUAUCAGCUUGUUGGUGGGGUAAAGGCCCACCAAGGCGAUGACGGGUAGCCGACCUGAAAGGGUGAUCGGCCACACUGACACUGAGACACGGGUCAGACUCCUACGGGAGGCAGCAGUGAGGAAUUUUGGACAAUGGGGGAAACCCUGAUCCAGCGACGCCGCGUGGAGGACGAAGGUCUUCGGAUUGUAAACUCCUUUUGUCUGGGAAUAAUGAGCUUGUAGAAAUACAGGAAGUGAAGGUACCAGAUGAAUAAGCCACGGCUAACUUCGUGCCAGCAGCCGCGGUAAUACGAAGGUGGCAAGCGUUACUCGGAAUGACUAGGCGUAAAGGGCAGGUAGGCGGUUUGAUAAGUCUGCUGUGAAAGCUCCCGGCUCAACUGGGAGAGGUCAGCAGAUACUGUCAGGCUUGAGUAUGGGAGAGGUAUCUGGAAUUCCCGGUGUAGCGGUGAAAUGCGCAGAGAUCGGGAGGAACACCAAUGGCGAAAGCAAGAUACUGGACCAUUACUGACGCUCAGCUGCGAAAGCUAGGGGAGCAAACAGGAUUAGAUACCCUGGUAGUCCUAGCUGUAAACGAUGUACAUUAGACGUGGGGGGUAUCGACCCCUUCCUUGUCGAAGCUAACGCAUUAAAUGUACCGCCUGGGGAGUACGGCCGCAAGGUUGAAACUCAAAGGAAUUGACGGGGGCCCGCACAAGCGGUGGAGCAUGUGGUUUAAUUCGACGCAACGCGAAGAACCUUACCUGGGCUCGAACUGUCGGAAGUAGUUCCGAUGAAAAUCGGAAUGACCCGUAAAAUCGGGCACCGACAGAGGUGCUGCAUGGCUGUCGUCAGCUCGUGUCGUGAGAUGUUGGGUUAAGUCCCGCAACGAGCGCAACCCUUAUCCCAUGUUGCCCUAUCCGAAAGGAUGGCACUCUUGGGAAACUGCCUCGGAUAACGGGGAGGAAGGUGGGGAUGACGUCAAGUCACCAUGGCCUUUAUGUCCAGGGCUACACACGUGCUACAAUGGCCGGUACAGCGAGCAGCAAAUCCGCAAGGAGGAGCAAAUCUCUAAAAGCCGGCCCCAGUUCGGAUAGUGGGCUGAAAUUCGCCCACUUGAAGGAGGAAUCGCUAGUAAUCG